AUUGAACGCUGGCGGCAGGCCUAACACAUGCAAGUCGAGCGAGCGGCGGACGGGUGCGUAAUGUAUGGGGACUGCCCGAUAGAGGUGGAUACCUACGGGAAACGGUAGCUAAUACCGCAUACUAUCGGAUAACCCAUAUGGUGUUAGCUAGUUGGUGAGGUAAUGGAUCACAAAGGCGACGAUCCCUAGCUGGUCUGAGAGGAUGAUCAGCCACACUGGGACUGAGACACGGCCCAGACUCCUACGGAGUCAGCAGUGGGGAAUUGUGCACAAUGGGCGCAAGCCUGAUGCAGCCAUGCCGCGUGUAUGAAGAAGGCCCUAGGGUUGUAAAGUACUUUCAGUCGGGAGGCGUUACCGACAGAAGAAGCACCGGCUAACUCCGUGCCAGCAGCCGCGGUAAUUC
rnacentral:rRNA from 1 species